CUGUAGAGUGCCGCUGGCAACUCCAUCGAUGAACUCCAUCAAUGAGCGCAGGGAUAAAGUUUAGAAACCCUUCGAGCGAGAACGUGUUUUCAAAAAGGAAGCACAAAUAUGCCGCGUAACUUCCCCUCUAGUACUGUAUGGCCCCAUCAAAGCCACUCGCUGACUACUUACCAGUAAAAUGGGGUUGGACGGUUGUCAGAUUAGCUGACAUGUUUUCUGCCAACACAACCAUAAGCAGUUGUCAACUCUCAAGACUAAAAGAGCUUGCGAAGAAAGUGAGAAACCUUGGCUAUGAAAGCACAUGAAGCGUCAGAACAUAAUCGAGCAAACUUGGACCUAGAUUACCAGUGUCUGCUCCAGAGCCGGGUCAGUGGCCCUGUUUGUGAGUACUUGGACCUUUUGGAAAAAGAACACUGGGUUACCUGCGACCCGGUCGGAAGUCCUGUCGAGUACUAUACUUUUGUAUACCGUUCGAGGGUAUACCGCCACUGACAGGCUGCAUACGCGUGCAGAUGCGUGCGGCCAGAGUGCCCAAUGCGAGUACGUUCAUACAUGUACAUGUACAAUCAUGUACAUCAGGAAGUCGAAAGUAAGUUUACGACUCCCUGACACACAGUAGCCGCACUUGAACGCAUCUGGCUCUGGCCCAGUGUUGCAGGAAUUGUGCCAGGUAGACGUGUACCCGGUUUGUGUUAAAUCUUAGAGCAGGUACUGCAUACCCUAUCAUAUCUGUGUACAUGGGUAGACAGAGUCAGUGUUGUUGCGUCCCACUCAGUACCCUUCUGGUUCAUUUCGGCACCAGCACUCUUUGCGUAUGCAGAGUUGAGUAGAGUGCAAGUUCGGACCACAAGUACACUGCAGCGGCUAGUAGCCUAGCAAACCUAACCUGUGCCGUGAUGCCCGGCACGUGUGUGCAUCUACUUCAUCCCUGAGUAACACACCUGGUAUAUUGUGCACAAUAGGGCACAGUAAAUAAUCAGCAUGCAUCGCAGUUUUCUGCAACAUAUUCCUGAAGUCACUUUACACCUCAGAAGAAUUGCGUCGCUGACUGGAAUUCGAUACCGGUUUAGUUUCUCUCUGGGUCAUUAUCAAUCAUAGAAAACCCGUCAUACAAUAGGUUCAAGCUAAAGUACCGUAUCACCAUGGUAAUUACCUGGAAAUUCGGUGUGUUUUCUACGUUUUUGUUAAACAAGCAGCAAUGUGCAACAGAAAUUACCAUGGUGAUAGAGUAGAUGACCGUGUGAAGCGGUGUGAGAUGCAGCAAAGCAUUAGGCGAUUUGAUCGCAGGACAAGAGAGGAGCUGAUGGACGAUCUCUCCAGUGUCCCUCUUGGUUCGGAGCAGCGCCGAGUGCUGACGUUGGGACUUGGAGUUCUAGCAUCCGUAGCUGCCUCAGGGGGUGCCACUUCUCCCAUCAGCGUCGACUAGUCCGCCGAUCUCACUCAGCUCUGCUCUCCGAGCAUGCUGCUUCCAACACGACUUCCCGAAAGAAAAUGUGCUCGCGCAUUAGAGGGAGGUGAAAGAUGCACCUGCAGGAGAAUACAUGCUUAAGAGAAGGCAGAAACAUGCCCGGAUCCACCAGAACUAGUGCUGGCAAGUCAACAGAGGCGAGUACUGAUAAUGUUCCAGAUUGUGGUAGGAUCACAUAAGCAAAAUU